rnacentral:rRNA from 1 species
AGGCGGCUUUGCAAGUCAGGUGUGAAAACUAUGGGCUUAACCCAUAACGUGCACUUGAAACUGUGGAGCUUGAGUGGAGUAGAGGCAGGCGGAAUUCCCGGUGUAGCGGUGAAAUGCGUAGAGAUCGGGAGGAACACCAGUGGCGAAGGCGGCCUGCUGGGCUUUAACUGACGCUGAGGCACGAAAGCAUGGGUAGCAAACAGGAUUAGAUACCCUGGUAGUCCAUGCUGUAAACGAUGAUUACUAGGUGUGGGGGGUCUGACCCCAUCCGUGCCGGAGUUAACACAAUAAGUAAUCCACCUGGGAAGUACGACCGCAAGGUUGAAACUCAAAGGAAUUGACGGGGGCCCGCACAAGCAGUGGAGUAUGUGGUUUAAUUCGAAGCAACGCGAAGAACCUUACCAGGUCUUGACAUCCAACUAACGAAGCAGAGAUGCAUUAGGUGCCCUUCGGGGAAAGUUGAGACAGGUGGUGCAUGGUUGUCGUCAGCUCGUGUCGUGAGAUGUUGGGUUAAGUCCCGCAACGAGCGCAACCCUUGUGAUUAGUUGCUACGCA